rnacentral:misc_RNA from 1 species
AACUGAUACUACCUGCGGGAACCUGCGGAGGGAUCAUUACCGAGUUUACAACUCCCAAACCCCAUGUGAACAUACCUGUUUCGUUCCCUCGGCGGUGUCCGGCAACGGCCCGCCAGAGGACCCAACAAACUCUUUUGAAUUUUUCAGUAUCUUCUGAGUGAAAAAAACAAUAAAUCAAAACUUUUAACAACGGAUCUCU